rnacentral:rRNA from 1 species
AUACGGAGGGGGCUAGCGUUGUUCGGAAUUACUGGGCGUAAAGCGCACGUAGGCGGGUUAAAAAGUUAGAGGUGAAAUCCCAGGGCUUAACCCUGGAACUGCCUUUAAAACCAGUAGUCUAGAGUUCGAGAGAGGUGAGUGGAAUUCCAAGUGUAGAGGUGAAAUUCGUAGAUAUUUGGAGGAACACCAGUGGCGAAGGCGGCUCACUGGCUCGAUACUGACGCUGAGGUGCGAAAGCGUGGGGAGCAAACAGGAUUAGAAACCCGGGUAGUCC